rnacentral:misc_RNA from 1 species
GGAGACCAGAAGCUUGUCGCCAAGUAUGCUACGUUGAUGAAGAAGAGAACUGAAAUUGAGAAUCGCCUCAUUGAAAAGCUGGGGCGUUUGUGAUCUUGAGAUUAUUCUAUGCACAGCCAGCUCCAAAUAAUUUGAGAGUAGCAAAGAUGUCAGAUCAUUUGUCUCUUUAUAUAUCCUUGAGCCUGAUGAGAACUCUUGUUAAAUUCUUUCUUCUUCUUUUUCAGUUAGAAUAAUCUUAUACUCUCUGUAAACAGAUCCAACAACCCUAUCAGAUGAUUGAAU